rnacentral:lncRNA from 1 species
UACUUGGGAUAUUGUUCCUCUUCCUCCUGGUAAGAAACCCAUUGGCUGUAAGUGGGUCUAUAAAAUCAAAUACAAGUCUGAUGGUCUUGUUGAAAGAUAUAAAGCAAGGCUUGCUAUUAGGGGUGAUACACAAGUUGAGGGGAUUGAUUUUACUGAUACUUAUUCUCCUGUGAUUAAGAUGACCUCUGUGAAAUGCCUUAUUGUUGUGGCUGUCAAGAAUCAUUGGCCUCUUUUCCAGCUUGAUGUCAAUAAUGCUUUUCUCUAUGGUGAUUUGGAUGAGGAAGUUUACAUGAAACUUCCUCCAGGUUUGACAGUUUCUGCUCCUAUUUUUGGUUUUGUUUCUACUCCUUCUUCUACUUCUCCUCCUGUGGUCUGUAAACUCAAGAAAUCCCUGUAUGGGCUAAGACAAGCAUCCAGACAAUGAUAUGCCAAGUUAUCUUCUGCUCUUUAUUCCAAAGGGUAUAAAUAUUCUUUGAAUGACUAUUCUUUGUUUAGACAAUGGUAUGCCAAGUUGUCUUCUUUUCUUUAUUCCAGAGGGUACAAACAUUCUUUGAAUGACUAUUCUUUGUUCAUCAAAGGUACACCUGGCUCCUUUGUGGUGGUAGCAGUCUAUGUGGAUGAUAUUAUACUUACUGGAGAUGAUAGUGAUGAACUUACUGCACUGAAACUGUUUCUGGAUGAUCAGUUUAAAAUCAAAGAUUUGGGAUCUUUGCAUUAUUUUUUGGGCCUUGAAAUGACAGUUGUCCCUGGAGGGAUGCUCCUUAAUCAGCAUAAGUAUAUUUCUGAUUUGCCGCAUCAGUUUGACUGUGUAAAUGUCUCCUCUGUUGUUUCUCCUUUGGACAUUAAUGUCAAACUNNN